rnacentral:rRNA from 1 species
CUCGUAGGCGGUUCGGCAAGUCGGAUGUGAAAUCUCCACGCUUAACGUGGAGGGGCCAUUCGAAACUGCCGUGACUCGAGUCCGGUAGGGGAGUGCGGAAUUCCCGGUGUAGCGGUGAAAUGCGCAGAUAUCGGGAGGAACACCAGUGGCGAAGGCGGCACUCUGGGCCGGAACUGACGCUGAGGAGCGAAAGCGUGGGGAGCGAACA